AGUUUGAUUCAUGGCUCAGGACGAACGCUGGCGGCGUGCCUAAUACAUGCAAGUCGAGCGGACAGAUGGGAGCUUGCUCCCUGAUGUUAGCGGCGGACGGGUGAGUAACACGUGGGUAACCUGCCUGUAAGACUGGGAUAACUCCGGGAAACCGGGGCUAAUACCGGAUGGUUGUUUGAACCGCAUGGUUCAAACAUAAAAGGUGGCUUCGGCUACCACUUACAGAUGGACCCGCGGCGCAUUAGCUAGUUGGUGAGGUAACGGCUCACCAAGGCAACGAUGCGUAGCCGACCUGAGAGGGUGAUCGGCCACACUGGGACUGAGACACGGCCCAGACUCCUACGGGAGGCAGCAGUAGGGAAUCUUCCGCAAUGGACGAAAGUCUGACGGAGCAACGCCGCGUGAGUGAUGAAGGUUUUCGGAUCGUAAAGCUCUGUUGUUAGGGAAGAACAAGUACCGUUCGAAUAGGGCGGUACCUUGACGGUACCUAACCAGAAAGCCACGGCUAACUACGUGCCAGCAGCCGCGGUAAUACGUAGGUGGCAAGCGUUGUCCGGAAUUAUUGGGCGUAAAGGGCUCGCAGGCGGUUUCUUAAGUCUGAUGUGAAAGCCCCCGGCUCAACCGGGGAGGGUCAUUGGAAACUGGGGAACUUGAGUGCAGAAGAGGAGAGUGGAAUUCCACGUGUAGCGGUGAAAUGCGUAGAGAUGUGGAGGAACACCAGUGGCGAAGGCGACUCUCUGGUCUGUAACUGACGCUNNGAGCGAAAGCGUGGGGAGCGAACAGGAUUAGAUACCCUGGGUAGUCCA
rnacentral:rRNA from 1 species